GGGGCUGUGGCUCAAUGGAAGAGCCUCUGCUUUGCAUGCAGAAGGUCCUGGGUUCAAUCCCCAGCAUCCCCU